CCUCUACUGUGCACCCCUAGUUGAUUUAUUUGACUUAUCUGCAAUCAACAAACAACGAAGAAAGGCGUGGACUUCGAGCCUCCAAGCAAAGAUAUCAAGUACAGGAGAACCGGCAGAACUACGAUGAUGUUGUGAACAAUCAUCACAGCAUGGCUAGAGAAUCAUUUGAUGAUUGGAGAAAUAAGCAGAACCAAGAUGGCCUUCUUGAUGAUGGGAAGUUUAGCAAGAGAAGAAAAGUGGGCAGCAAUGGUUAGUCAAUAAUCAGAAAUCAUCAAUUGUUGCACCACCCGACAUCAUCUGUUUGUUAUUCAGAAGAAAGGCUUGUCUUCCUCUAAUAUAUCAUACAUAUUAGCCAAGGAUUUUGCAAGAUUAUGAAAGCUGAAGUACUAGAGUAUGAGUAUUGGAGCCAUGCUAAGACUGUUGCUUUGUGAUAUAGGCGAUUAAAGUCAUGAAUACAAGCUAAAGGACUAAUUUGUGUGA